GGGUUCGCUUAGCCGCGAUUAAUUGGGAAAGAGAGUGCAAAUCUCCUACUGUCCCGCAGCUGUGAGCCUCCGUAUAAGCUACGAAGCAAACGCCAUUGAGGCAUCCCCUUUGCUCUAAAGAGCAGCGUAAGGGGGAGAAGACUUGAGAAGGCGCUUCGUGGUGGGGCAAAGUCAGAAGACCAGCCCUGGUGU
rnacentral:ncRNA from 1 species